CCUACGGGGGGCUGCAGUGAGGAAUAUUGGUCAAUGGACGUAAGUCUGAACCAGCCAAGUAGCGUGAAGGAUGACUGCCCUAUGGGUUGUAAACUUCUUUUAUAUGGGAAUAAAAUGUUGCACGUGUGGGGUUUUGUAUGUACCAUAUGAAUAAGGAUCGGCUAACUCCGUGCCAGCAGCCGCGGUAAUACGGAGGAUCCGAGCGUUAUCCGGAUUUAUUGGGUUUAAAGGGAGCGUAGGUGGAUUGUUAAGUCAGUUGUGAAAGUUUGUGGCUCAACCGUAAAAUUGCAGUUGAAACUGGCAGGCUUGAGUACAGUAGAGGUGGGCGGAAUGCGUGGUGUAGCGGUGAAAUGCUUAGAUAUCACGAAGAACUCCGAUUGCGAAGGCAGCUCACGGGACUGCAACUGACACUGAGGCUCGAAAGUGUGGGGAUCAAACAGGAUUAGAUACCCGAGUAGUC
rnacentral:rRNA from 1 species